rnacentral:lncRNA from 1 species
UCUUAGUUGUGAUUUCCUCUUCUCAGAUACCACUAGCUUGUGCCAAUUUGACAUAAAAACUAGCCAGAGCAAGUAUAUAUAUAAAUGGAAUGAAUACCUAGGGCAUCCGUGUGUUCCAGAGGCACAGCUUAAGUAUAAAUCAGUAUCGUGUCAUGACCGCCUCAACCAGCAAGAAUAACGCAACACAGGAGCUCUUCUUGCAAGCAGUUUAUUCAGAACCCUUUUCAACAGCGAUCUCGCUCCUCGGGCAAGCCUCUCCCAGCCCUUAAGUAGGCAUUGACCACCAACCCUGGAUUGCCACGUGGGCACCGCCCACAGGUUCAUGCAUACGCAAGCAGCUUACGAUCAUCUGGCCUUAGCCAUAUAUGGAGUUGUUUUUCUAAGAGAGGAGGGCGGGAGCCAGCGCCAUCUUUAAGGUGCGGCUCCACACCGCUCUCUACAGUUAAGGUGCGGCUCCACACAGCUCUCUACAGUAUCGGACAAAAGAAGUGGCAAAUAUAGAGAAAUUUGGCACUGGGAGAGAAGAUUCCAAAUGUGAAGUUUCUAGAUUCUUAGUGUUAAGUUAGUACCUCAGCAUUGAUUGUAGUCAUGUAUGCACUGCUGCUCACCAAGGUAGCUCAAUCAGGUUUUGGUGUCCAGAAUUUUUACUGAGAUUUCAUUAUGUAGACAUGGCUUUUCAGCUCUCCUGAAUCAUCUCGUUAGCAGAAACUGUCUAGAUGUCAAAGUUAGCAUCAUUAUUUGAGUACAGUCUAAGGGCCCCACAUGAACAGCAAAGAUAUUCCCAUCAAUGUGGGAAAUCCUACAGGUUUAGUGGUCACAUCCCAGGAUUUGAAGCAAUGUCAGAUCUUACUGAAUUGUAAUGAGUGGAACCUUAGGUAUAAUGGCUUAGUACUUCAAACAAAGGCUUAUUGCUUGCUCACGAUACAAUCCAGGAGCUUCAUGGUUGGCUGGAGCUUUCUGUUCUAUACAGUCAUAAACAUUUAGGCGGAAUGUCGAUGGGGAAAUUUCACAAGGCUCCACCCCCGGAUGUGGAGUUACAAGUAGUCAAUGGCUGAUGAGAGAGGAAGAGUCAAAUGGUUUUUUCCCCAGAUAUGAGACACACUUGACAGGUUAUUUAAUCCCAAGUGUUUACAAUCCAUAAACAAUGUAUAUAUGAGCAACACUAAAUGGAAUAAUAUAUAUCUAUACAUCAGUAUCAAUAAAGAGAUCAUGAAUUUUAGAGGGAGUGAGAGGCAUGGGAGCAGUUGGGGGUGGAAUUGAUGCAAAUACAGUGCUAAUGUGUGAAAUUCUAAAAUAGAUGAACUCUAGGCUAAUAAGCAUUCCACCUGUCACACAGAGCCUUCAGAGUGGAUGUGGGUCCCACAGUCAGUUUGUGAGUGAGGGUUCAAACGUAGCACUUUUGGCUAUGGCUCAUGUCACUUUUACUUGCACCCCAUUCUUAUACCCCAUUUGCUAAUACUCAUUCAUAG